GCAGAAAUGACGGGAGGAGGAAGAGGAAAACUGGAAGGAGUGAAAAAAAAAGGAGAGAAGAAACGUGGAACUAAGCGAGACAGCUGAAAAAAUGACUCACAAGAUGCAAGUGAUGCAACAGUUCUCACAACAGCACAAAUUCACCCGUCUUUCAUCUGCAGGACUGUGGAUGUCCCAGCUGCCAUGCAGCCAUCAGUCAGCAGAACAAGGAGUGUGCAGCUGCUCCAUCUCCAGUGCUCGAGCUGUGACAACCCACACAUGUCAUUUAUGCAAGCGAUAUUCCUGUGUCUGUAGGUCCCCAUAAAGGAGGACCAGGUGUGACAUGUGCCCAAGGGACCCUUCGCAGAGGAGAGCACAGGCCUGCUGCUGUAAGAAACACGACCACUGAGUGAGGGUUUCAUUGGCACUCUGCUUGCCUGACGUUCUGGCAGCGUGGAAGGAGAUCUCCACGUCAGCAACUUCAGGGAGGUUUGGAGGUAGGACCCAAACGCUGACAGAGAGCCCUGGUGUCCUCAUCCUUGGUCCCUGGAGUGGAGAUGCUGGAGAUGUGGGCCCAUCUGUCAUGGACAGCCUUGCAGGGUGCUAUCAGGAUGAAGAUCACAGCACUCAGUUGGCUUCCUCAGGGUGAUCGUAAGCAGCACUGAGCUUCGCUUCAUGUGUAACAGCAUUACUGGAAAAAGACAGUAAAGUCCUUUACAGCCUUGAAAAAGUGUCAGGGAUUUUAUGUAUUCACUGAGGCUUGGAGUUCAAAGGUGAAGACAAUAUCACGCUUUGAUAUACCGAGAGUCAAUCAUCAUCUCAUCUCAACUGGAAAACAAAUGCCUGGGAGGGUGUGUGGGGGGAGUUCAAUUCAAAGCUGGUAUGCAUGGUAAACCCCCUAAUCCCAGCACCUGUGAUAAACACUAUCCAGCAAUAGCAGGUGGAAUUCAACUUGGCUGGCACAGGGCACAGGAGGAUACAAAUGUUUUUGGGAACCUCCCCACUAUUUCCUGGGGAAGACAGUGACAUUCACAGCGUCAGCUACUUCAGGUGUCAACCUCCUGGGGACAAGAGGGCCAUCAAAGAGAACAAAUGGC
rnacentral:lncRNA from 1 species